rnacentral:rRNA from 1 species
UACGAAGGGGGCUAGCGUUGUUCGGAAUUACUGGGCGUAAAGCGCGCGCAGGCGGUUCUUCAAGUCAGAGGUGAAAGCCCAGAGCUCAACUCUGGAAUGGCCUUUGAGACUAGAGAACUAGGGUACGGGAGAGGUGAGUGGAAUUCCGAGUGUAGAGGUGAAAUGCGCAGAUAUUCGCAAGAACACCAGUGGCGAAGGCGGCUCACUGGCCCGAUACUGACGCUGAGGCACGAAAAGCGUGGGGGAGCAAACAGG